rnacentral:rRNA from 1 species
UGGGGAAUUUUGCACAAUGGGCGCAAGCCUGAUGCAGCGACGCCGCGUGAGGGAUGAAGGCCUUCGGGUUGUAAACCUUUUUCGCUCAUGGUCAAGCCGCAGCUUUGGGUUGUGGUGAGGGUAGUGGGUAAAGAAGCGCCGGCUAACUACGUGCCAGCAGCCGCGGUAAUACGUAGGGCGCGAGCGUUGUCCGGAAUUAUUGGGCGUAAAGGGCUUGUAGGCGGUUGGCCGCGUCUGCCGUGAAAUCCUCUGGCUUAACUGGGGGCGUGCGGUGGGUACGGGUUGACUUGAGUGCGGUAGGGGAGACUGGAAUGCCUGGUGUAGCGGUGGAAUGCGCAGAUAUCAGGAGGAACACCGGUGGCGAAGGCGGGUCUCUGGGCCGUUACUGACGCUGAGGAGCGAAAGCGUGGGGAGCGAACAGG